rnacentral:rRNA from 1 species
AUUGAACGCUGGCGGCAUGCUUUACACAUGCAAGUCGAACGGUAACAGGCUGUCGGGGUCGGACGAGUGGCGAACGGGCGAGUAAUUCAUAGGAACGUAACCUGCGGUGGGGGAUAAGGCAGCGAAAGCUGUGUUAAGACAGUACGGGAUCUGAGGUUGUAAUCGGGGGAGCGAGUAGGAAUGUUUGGCCUCGUGCCUUUGGAGUGGCGGAUGUUGGACUUGUUAGUGGGGGGGGUGAAGGCCUAGCAUGGGGAAGAUCCGUAGCCGGACUGGGAGGACGGUCAGCCACACUGGGACUGGAACACGGCCCAUGCUCCUACGGGACGGCGCAGUGGGGAAUUUUGGGCAAUGGGCGGGAGCCUGAUCCAACAAUGCCGCGUGCGGGAAAAAAGCCUUCCGGGUGGAAAACCGUUUUUGGAGGAACGAAACGGUUUCCCCUAAGACCCGGCGCUAAUGACGGUACCUGCAGAAUAAGCACCGGCUAACUACGUG